rnacentral:rRNA from 1 species
UACAGAGGUCUCAAGCGUUUGUUCGGAUUCAUUGGGCGUAAAGGGUGUGUAGGUGGCGCCGUAAGUCGGGUGUGAAAUUUCGGAGCUUAACUCCGAAACUGCAUUCGAUACUGCGGUGCUUGAGGACUGGAGAGGAGACUGGAAUUCAUGGUGUAGCAGUGAAAUGCGUAGAGAUCAUGAGGAAGACCAUGGCGAAGGCGGGUCUCUGGACAGUUCCUGACACUGAGACACGAAGGCCAGGGGAGCAAACGGG